UACGGGGGGAGCAAGCGUUGUUCGGAUUUACUGGGCGUAAAGGGCGCGUAGGCGGUCGUGACAAGUCACUUGUGAAAUCUCCGGGCUUAACUCGGAACGGUCAAGUGAUACUGUCGGACUAGAGUACAGAAGGGGCAACUGGAAUUCUCGGUGUAGCGGUGAAAUGCGUAGAUAUCGAGAGGAACACCUGCGGCGAAGGCGGGUUGCUGGGCUAAUACUGACGCUGAGGCGCGAAAGCCAGGGGAGCGAACGGG
rnacentral:rRNA from 1 species